rnacentral:rRNA from 1 species
GAUGAACGCUGGCGGCGUGCUUAACACAUGCAAGUCGAACGAAGCACUUUAUUUGAUUUCCUUCGGGACUGAUUAUUUUGUGACUGAGUGGCGGACGGGUGAGUAACGCGUGGGUAACCUGCCUUGUACAGGGGGAUAACAGUUGGAAACGGCUGCUAAUACCGCAUAAGCGCACGGCAUCGCAUGAUGCAGUGUGAAAAACUCCGGUGGUAUAAGAUGGACCCGCGUUGGAUUAGCUAGUUGGUGAGGUAACGGCCCACCAAGGCGACGAUCCAUAGCCGACCUGAGAGGGUGACCGGCCACAUUGGGACUGAGACACGGCCCAAACUCCUACGGGUGGCAGCAGUGGGGAAUAUUGCACAAUGGGCGAAAGCCUGAUGCAGCGACGCCGCGUGAGCGAAGAAGUAUUUCGGUAUGUAAAGCUCUAUCAGCAGGGAAGAUAAUGACGGUACCUGACUAAGAAGCACCGGCUAAAUACGUG